CCUGAGCUCUAGUGAGUUGCAGAGUUGUUAGGCAGCUGGAGUAGGAGUGGAAAGGCCAUGAAAUGUCCACAGUCCUGGCUGUGCCCACGGCCUGGGCUGCUCCUCCAGGCCCUGGCUGAGGGAUUAGGGCUGAUUCUCUCGGGAAGGGAAUAUUCCAUGGGUGGAAGAUUUACGGGCUCAG